rnacentral:tRNA from 1 species
ACCUAGGUGGCUCAGUGGGUUAAGCUUCUGACUUCGGCUCAGGUCAUGAUCUCAUGGCUUGUGGGUUCAAUCCCUGCUUUGGGCU